GAUGAACGCUGGCGGCGUGCCUAAUACAUGCAAGUCGAGCGAACAGACGAGGAUCUUGCUCCUCUGACGUUAGCCGCGGACGGGUGAGUAACACGUGUAUAACCUACCUAUAAGACUGGGAUAACUUCGGGAAACCGGAGCUAAUACCGUAUAAUAUAUUGAACCGCAUUGUUCAUUAGUGAAAGACGGCUUUGCUGUAACUUAUAGAUGGUUCCGGGCCGCAUUAGCUGGUUGGUAAGUUAACCGCUUAUCAAGGCAACGAUGCGUAGCCGACGUGACAGGGGGAUAGGCCGCCCUGGAGGUGGGACACGGACAAGGCGACUAAGAGACGCAGCAGUAGGGAACGGUCGGCAAUGGGCGGAAACCUGACGGAGCGACGCCAAGUGAGUGAUAAAGAUGUUGGGAUCGUGAAGCUCGGUUAUUGGGGAAGAACAAAUGUGUCAGUAGCUAUACACGUCUUGACGGUACCUGAUCAGAAAGCAACGGCUAACUACGUG
rnacentral:rRNA from 1 species